rnacentral:rRNA from 1 species
AGAGUUUGAUCCUGGCUCAGGAUGAACGCUGGCGGCGUGCCUAACGCAUGCAAGUCGAGCGAGGACCGCCCGGUGGCAACACCGGGUUGGUGCCUAGCGGCGAACGGGUGAGUAACACGUGGGUAACCUGCCCCCGACACCGGGAUAAGCCUGGGAAACUGGGUCUAAUACCGGAUAUGAGCCUCCUCCGCAUGGUGGGGGCUGGAAAGGGUCUCCGGUCGGGGAUGGGCCCGCGUCCUAUCAGCUUGUUGGUGGGGUAACGGCCUACCAAGGCGACGACGGGUAGCCGGCCUGAGAGGGUGUACGGCCACACUGGGACUGAGACACGGCCCAGACUCCUACGGGAGGCAGCAGCGGGGAAUAUUGCGCAAUGGGCGAAAGCCUGACGCAGCGACGCCGCGUGCGGGAUGACGGCCUUCGGGUUGUAAACCGCUUUCAGCAGGGACGAAGCGCAAGUGACGGUACCUGCAGAAGAAGGUCCGGCCAACUACGUGCCAGCAGCGGCGGUAAUUC